GCCUCAGCCUUCCCACUGGUGGUGGAAAGGGACACCAUACCCAGCAGGUGAUGAAUAUCUUAAAGUGCAUCUAGAAGAACUGUAUUUAAGAGGAGGAAGUUGUUGCAAAGUGGUCUUCACAAUCCUACCAGCGUAGAACAAGCAAACACUGCUGUCAGCAAAGCAUCAGGAGACGUCUUCUACAGUUUGGACAGCAGUUCCUCCUCAUGAAACGCCCUCAUUCCUGGUCUGCAUGCUUCUAUCUUUGCAUGCUCAUCCCAAACUCCAGCCCUCUCAGGAAGUGGUCUCUAGCACCUGAAAAGACACACGUGGGAGUAAUUUCCAAGAUAGCAAUGGAAUCAACCAGUGAAAGAUGGAUUUUUAUCGCUAAAGUUGCUCUGGUUCCUUUCCUGGCCUCUGUUUCUCUAAACUGAAAGGAAGCUGGGCAUUUACCCUAUUUCUUCCACUUAUAAUUUCUGCCACUGUCCCCUAGAUCUUUUGUCCGAGCCGCUUUCAGGAGCAAGUUCGGUCCCCAGCCCUACAGGAGGGAAGCCCCCUCCGCGCGGUCGACCGGUAGGGCGGGGUCUCCGCGGGAAGCGCCGCGAGGGUCACGUGACUUCCUUCCCCAGGCGCCUGCGCUGCCGGCCUCCCAGCAACCGGCACGUCCCGCCUAACAACGCCCGUGCAUCCCCGUUGGCGGGCGGAGGCGGUCGUAGCAAGGCGGCGCCCACGGUCCCACUGCUCAUUGGCUUGCGCUGUUGUCGCUCAGGCGCGUUGCCCAGCGCCUGCAGGCGGUGCUCCGGAAGCCUCUCCCCCGGCCGCCGAGUUCCUGGCUGGGUGGCGGCGGCUGUCACUCCCGGGCCGUUUCCCUUAGGUCCGCGCUCUGCUGGGGGCGGGAGGAAGAGGGGCCGGGCCGGGCCUGAGGAGGCGUCGCUGUCUUCGCGGCUGCUAUGACCGGCGGGCGCUGCGCCCUCCACAGCCCCGCGCAGCGCUAGUCGCGGCCGAGCGCCCCUCCGGAAGCCGCCAGGGUCUCCAGCGCGGCCGGUCCCGCGGCCCCUCGGCUCUCCCGGCGCCGCCCGAGGCGAAGCGAGGCGAGGCGGGAGAUGAAGAUGACGGUGGAUUUCGAGGAGUGUCUGAAGGACUCGCCCCGCUUCAGGGCUGCUUUGGAAGAAGUAGAAGGAGAUGUAGCAGAAUUGGAACUAAAACUUGAUAAGCUUGUGAAGCUUUGUAUUGCCAUGAUUGAUACUGGAAAAGCCUUUUGUGUUGCAAAUAAACAGUUCAUGAAUGGGAUUCGAGACCUAGCACAGUAUUCUAGUAAUGAUGCUGUAGUGGAGACAAGUUUGACCAAGUUUUCUGACAGCCUCCAAGAAAUGAUAAAUUUUCACACAAUCCUGUUUGACCAAACUCAGAGAUCUAUUAAGGCACAGCUUCAGAAUUUUGUUAAAGAAGAUCUUAGAAAAUUCAAAGAUGCCAAGAAGCAAUUUGAAAAAGUCAGUGAAGAAAAAGAAAACGCAUUAGUAAAAAAUGCCCAAGUUCAAAGAAACAAACAGCACGAGGUGGAAGAAGCCACAAAUAUUCUGACAGCAACAAGAAAAUGUUUUCGACACAUAGCCCUGGACUAUGUGCUUCAGAUUAAUGUUCUUCAAUCAAAAAGGAGAUCAGAAAUCCUCAAAUCUAUGUUGUCCUUCAUGUAUGCUCAUUUGGCCUUCUUUCAUCAAGGGUAUGACCUGUUCAGUGAACUUGGGCCUUACAUGAAAGAUCUUGGAGCUCAGUUGGAUCGACUGGUUGUGGAUGCAGCAAAGGAGAAAAGAGAGAUGGAACAAAAACAUUCCACCAUUCAACAAAAGGAUUUCUCCAGUGAUGAUUCUAAGUUAGAAUACAAUGUAGACGCUGCAAAUGGCAUCGUCAUGGAAGGAUAUCUGUUCAAACGAGCCAGUAAUGCCUUCAAAACGUGGAACAGGAAAAAGCCCGACCAUAUCAGACGCUGGUUUUCAAUACAGAACAAUCAGUUGGUUUACCAGAAAAAGUUUAAGGAUAACCCCACAGUUGUAGUUGAAGAUCUCAGGCUCUGCACUGUGAAGCACUGUGAGGACAUAGAAAGACGAUUCUGCUUUGAGGUGGUUUCUCCCACGAAAAGCUGUAUGCUCCAGGCAGAUUCCGAAAAGCUUCGGCAGGCGUGGAUUAAGGCUGUUCAGACCAGUAUUGCAACUGCUUAUAGAGAGAAGGGUGAUGAAUCAGAGAAGCUGGAUAAGAAAUCAUCUCCAUCAACAGGAAGCCUAGAUUCUGGAAGUGAGUCCAAAGAGAAAUUACUGAAGGGUGAAAGUGCACUGCAGCGGGUCCAGUGCAUCCCUGGCAAUGCCAGCUGCUGUGACUGUGGCCAGGCAGAUCCUCGGUGGGCCAGCAUCAACCUGGGCAUCACCUUGUGUAUCGAGUGCUCUGGGAUUCAUCGGAGUCUUGGGGUUCAUUUUUCAAAAGUACGAUCUUUAACUUUAGACACCUGGGAGCCUGAACUUUUAAAGCUUAUGUGUGAGUUGGGGAAUGAUGUUAUAAAUCGUGUUUAUGAAGCUAAAGUAGAAAAAAUGGGAAUAAAGAAACCACAACCAGGACAAAGACAGGAGAAAGAGGCAUAUAUCAAAGCAAAAUAUGUGGAGAGAAAAUUUGUGGAUAAAUAUUCUAUAUCAUCAUCACCUCCUGAGCAGGAAAAAAAGAUUGUCUCCAGAGGCUGCGAGGAAAAGAGGCUGAGCAUUUCUAAACUUGGGCCAGGCGACCCAGUCAGAGCAUCUGUUCCAAGUUCAGUGGUUGCUGUAAAUAGCGACGAGGCCAGGCGGGAGUCUCUGUUCUGUCCUGAUGAGCUAGACUCACUCUUCUCCUACUUUGAUACUUCUUCAAAACUGCGUAGUAUCAAAAGUAAUGACAGUGGGAUCCAGCAGUGCUCCGAUGAUGGAAGAGAAUCUUUACCAUCCACGGUAUCAGCCAGUAGUUUGUAUGAGCCUGAAGGCGAAAGACAAGAUUCUUCUGUGUUUCUCGACUCUAAACAUCUUAAUCCAGGACUUCAGCUUUAUAGAGCUUCCUAUGAGAAAAAUCUUCCGAAAAUGGCUGAGGCUUUGGCUCAUGGUGCAGACGUGAACUGGGCUAAUUCAGAGGAAAACAAAGCAACACCACUCAUUCAGGCUGUGUUGGGGGGCUCUUUGGUGACAUGUGAGUUCCUCCUACAGAAUGGUGCUAAUGUAAACCAAAGAGAUGUCCAAGGGCGGGGACCUCUGCACCAUGCCACCGUCUUGGGACACACAGGGCAGGUAUGUUUAUUCCUAAAGCGAGGUGCCAAUCAACAUGCCACUGAUGAAGAAGGGAAGGACCCUUUGAGCAUAGCUGUAGAAGCAGCUAAUGCUGACAUUGUAACCUUAUUACGUUUAGCAAGAAUGAAUGAAGAAAUGCGGGAAUCAGAAGGACUUUAUGGACAGCCAGGUCAAUAUUCCACUAAUAACCAUACUGAAAUGCAGUAUAAGAAAUGUAUUCAGGAAUUUAUCAGUUUACAGUUGGAAGAUGCAUAGUUCUUUGGCCAACUAACAUGAGUCUAUAUAGUUUUUAUAACCUACUUGUAAAUUGUGACUUGUUAGCUAUGUACUGUACUUUCCGAACUCUUGGGUGGCUACUCCUGGGCCUUUAAAAAUCCUGAACUGUUCUAUUCCAGCACACACUUACUUGCUGUACUUCACUCUGGCUGCUGACUUCCUUCUCUCCUGUAUAGAUGUCUUCCAUAUACAUUCCAGUGAAGUGAGUGGAAUGGUGAAAGUAUUCUUUCUAUAUUUACAGCAGCAAAGCAGUUGUUUUCUUUUUGGAAUUCUUUUUAGUUAUCAAAUAUAACAAAAUUACUUUUUUGUUAUUCAGGGAAUUUCUAGAAAUGUGUUCAGGGAAGAAAAAAACCUAAACAAAACAAUCACUAUGUUUGGCAUAUAAAAAGUCAGUAUGAAAAAUAUUAAGAAGAAUCUUAUUGAUGAGUUUUGUAUUCCAAUCUAGAGAUGAACUGAAGAACUAAAUUAUAAAUUUACCGGUAGGCUUAAAAGUUCAAAUGGGAGUAGAGUUAAUUUAAAAGGUUGAAGGAAAAGGUCUUGUUUUGUCUUUAGCUUUGCCCCAGCAUUUAUGUAGUAUCUGUUGUUUUGCUAAGUGGAAGUAUUCGGGACAAACUUUUGUGAUUCUGAUGGCAAAGCACACUUACUUCAUUAGAGAAUCUCAACUCGAUGAUCACCUCAAGUUUCAUUGUGACUCAUGUUUACCUCUGAGUCAAGUUGUUUGGAGAAGAAGCGUUGCUGACCAGGUCCCUCUCUGAGGAACACAAGCUGAUUAGAUAUUCUUCAUGGAGGAGAGCGUAGCUAUGGGGUCUCUAGUGUCCUGAUUUUGAGUAUGUGAAUUACUAAUCUACCUGUUUUUAAACUCAUAUACCUGUUAGUAAAUAUUUCAGGUAUUCUUAACUAAGAUACUUUAGAUUGUUCAGUUGGCAAUGAGUAUAUUGGAUUUUUAAAAAUGAAUAUUGUUAAUAUUAUUUUUAAGGUGACGUGGUAAUAUCAUCUCUUCUUUUUAUUUAUGUCGUAAAAUUUCUGUACUUUGUGGUAGCUUCAACCAUUUAUUUUAACUCAGUAGUUAACUGUCACUAUGGGGGCAAUUUUUUCCUCAGAGGACUGUAUUACUACUUAUUUUGCCCUGAUAGGGAACAAGUAAGGACUUUGGGAAUAGAGGCGCUGAGCUUCUAGUCCGGGCGUCCCACUUUAAUCCUAUGGAUCUUAUGUACCACGGACUCACGAUCUUCCAAGAUGUCCAAGUGCUGACGACGGGUGAAGCUCUAGUGUUAACUCUGGAUUUCACCCAUGUGUUUUAAACUUGAAUGUUAGAUUUUAGGCAAGUUAUAAUUUUGUAAUAGAUAGACUUACGUGGUAGUAUUACUAGGCCAUUUUUGAGGCCUUUAUGUUUAAGCACUUUAAAAAUAAAAAUCAAUCAAAGGAUGUGAUCUGACACUUGUGAGAACAGUGAACUUCAGGAAUUUAAGUUAAAACAAUUUUUCCCUGAAAUUGUAAAUGUUUGGUCAGCUGCUGUUUCCUUCAGGUGUUUGUGAUGAAGUUCAGCCACCUGAUUAGCCACAAGGUCAGCAACGACUGUUCUCUGGAGUUGGAGGCUUGAAAGGACAGAACCUUGAUGAUGUUCUUGCCACUUGUAGUUCUACCCAAAUCGCUUGGCUUUCUUCUGCCAUUGUUCAGAGUACUCAGCUGUCUCUUAUGUACAGGUUUAUAUAUAAGUAUAUAAACUUUCAUUAAUUAACAAAUACCGAUUUUUCCGAUUAAUUUUAGUGGAAAUUUGAAAAAAAGGUCUUAUUUUGAAACAAACUUUUUGCCAUUCUCAAAUUUUAGUUUAGAGGUUAAAAAAUAGAUGAGGAUUCUGGGAAGAAUGUACCAGAAUAAAAUGAGAUUUUAAAAAUGUAUUUUAGGAUUAUCUUGAAAAUAAUUUGUUUAGUCAUUUAUGGAUCCUGUUAUUUGAAGUGAUACUUUUAUGCAGACACAGUGGCGUGGAGCAGCGGUACAUAGCUGCCCUCCACCUUCCUUCCCUUCGGGAGUCUUUGCUGAGCAGCUGCAUUUGGCAGUAGCUGUUUCCCCCUGCUCACUGUAUCACUAUACACUUUGCUUUCAGAGAGUGUGGUUGAUUCUUUUAUUGGGAACCCUGCCCCCACACUUUCUAAUUUGUCCUAGUAAUAGACAAUUGCAGAACUCUGGGUGGUUUAUACUUGGGGGAAUUUUCAGUCUUUUGGUGAGGAGGAGGUCUGCCAUUUCAGAUUCAGAUACAAUGUUCGACAAUCAUGAACCUAUUUCUUCUAGUAAACCAAUUUCUGAACCUCCUGUCCACAAUCCCAAGAACUUGAGGCGUUCCAUAUUUGAAAGGUAGCGUUAAAGAUACAGUUUCUGAAGGGAGGAUGUGUUUGUCCUGAGCAGCCCCCAGAACUCUUAGCGGGCCUGAGUGGGUGAGAGAAAUAGCACUCCUCACUCUCAGCUGUUGGAAAUUGGUUUGUGGUUCCUGUUUCUGGCUCUGUGACUCUCUUGGUGGCUGGCAAGUUCUUAGCCAAAUGAGCAUCACUGGCCUGGGCACGAGUUACUACUGGUUAUAUGAGUGGGAAACAUUUGGGGAUCACUGAUCUCAUCCCCAACAGUUGUGGAAGGGAACUGUCACCAGCCUACAAGGGCAGGAUCAUGCAUAUGAUCACUUUGGGGUGGGUCUCACACCCUCUCAUCAAUUUGAGAGAGUUCCUUUCAAGAGGAAAGUCAGUAAACUAUUGAAUCAUUGUAACUGCUGUUAUGAUGGAUAUUCUAAAUACCAAAACUUGAAUUUAAAUUAUCAAUGGAAACAAAGCAAUUUAUGUUUUAAAACCUGAGAACUGUCCAAGCACACAGAAAAGCUUACUUUCUGAGAAUGUGGUUAAGUAAUUUAAAGAAUAUGCUUAGCAUUGUAGGAAUCAGGGGUUCGGUUUUUUGUCAUUUGUAAUAAACCAUUAAAUGUACUUCUGGGAGCAUUCUAGGACAGCAUAUUCGGGGUUUUAUGUAUGUGUCCUCGUGUAGACACAUAUUUGUUUGGGAAAAGUUCUAAAUGAUUAAAAUUAUAUUUAAAUUUUCAAUAAUCACAUUGAGAUUCAAUGUGUGGUAGCUAUAUUAAAUAUCUUAGUCACUAUUCUUGAAAUAUUUGCUUUUUGACAACACAUUUUGAGGUCUAAGAAAGGUAGUAUGUUAAUAGUGCAUUAUUAAUGUUUUGUUAGAAGCUGAAUGUUAGAAAGUUUUUGUGUUUGAAGAUGGAAACUUCUCUUGUAUUGUGUUGACUCUUUUGAAACGUGUUCAGUGAAACCAAUGACUAUUCAGCACCAACAUGUUCCUUUAAGGAAGCAUUUAAUUCAGUGAAUGAAAGGUCUUUUAAUUUGUUUUGCAUGGUACAAUGGUCCUAUUAAAACAUACUCGCGUAAUAGGUACUAGGUGAUUUAAAAACAAAAACUAGAAACACACAGCUUGUUAUACAAAUAUGCAUUGCACUGUAGAAGCCAUAUAUUGCCAUUGUACUAUUGUGAUACUCAAGAGUGCCCACCUGGUGCUAUCUGUAAACUCUCCGGCAUUAGCAUCUGCUAGGUCCUUCUUCCUAUUUCUUCUUGAAUGUAUAAUGUGUGCCUUUUAAGUUUCUUCUGGUGUUGAAUGGUAAUAUCAGUGUGGUAUUUUUGUAUUAUAAUUGCACUUUACACUUUCUUGGGAGUAAAUUCUAGACUAUCUAGUUUAAAUAGUAUUUUAAAAAUCUUUAUAAUGUUUAAAAUAAAUAUUUUACAUAUUUUAAUUCAAAAUGUAAAACUAAGAAAAAUUUAAAAUAUUUUGUAUGGUUUGUUAAUUGCUAUUGUUGUUCUCUUAAGUUACUUUAUAUCUUUUAGAGUGGCUAAAUGGGAAUAGAUUGUAGUUUAUCUUUCAGUGUGGAAAUGAACUUUUAAAAAAUCAUGAGUAUGCUUGGAUUGUCUUAGCAGUUGUUCCAGUAUAUCAGCUUUUUGCUUUGUUUUAGUAAAUCUGAAUUUUUUUUUUCUGUUUAUAGUAGAUUGAUUAGGCUUAACUGAUUGUUUCAGGUCAUAAUUAAGUUUCCAGGGCUAAAUGAAAACUGUAUUUGAUUUUAAUAAAUUGCUUUUUACAUAGAGUAAAUAUUAAAGGGAGCUGCAUAUUGAAAGUAUUAAAAUCUUUUUAUUAAAAAUCCUGGGUUAGGCUGUUAGACCUUUUUACUAGAUCUUUGUUGUUCUUCCCCUACAUUUUUCUAAUUCUGUAGCUUUUGGUAUGACACUGUUGCUUAAACAUUUUCCUCUUUAUAACUAACAAAACUUACUGCUUAACAACACUUGUAGCAAAGAGUUUGUUAUAGAAUGGAUGCAAGGUAUCUUAUGGGAAGUAAUUACAAAACCAGGUUGCAACAGUAAUCAUCUAAAAGAGUAUGUAUGCUCAAUAUCUUCAGGACAGAAUUAUGCCAAGUGUCUGUACAAAUCCUUCAUUGUUGAGUUGAUUUCUUUCUUUUUUUUAUUUCUUCUUCUUCUUCUUCUUCUUUUUUUUAGACAAGGCUUUAUAUAGUUCAGGCUGGUCUUGAAUUCACUAUGUAGUCCAGGCUGGCCUUGAACUAGAUCUUCCUGCCUCAGCCUCCUGAAUGCUGGGACUGUAAGCAUGCACCACCACACCCAGCCUGUAGCUUGAUUUCUUAAAAUCUGUAAAACUAAUAUUUAGCAGGAAGAAAAAGUGAUGAAUUAUUCAUUUUGAAAAUAAUAUUUCUUUGUCUGAGGGAUUAAUUUGUAUGUGUGUAUAUAAGUUUCUAUAACAAGAAAAAUAGUAUUUAAUCUUCUGUAAUGUUAAUAUCUAUAAUUUACAUUGUCACAAGAAUAUUAUAUAUAUACACAUAUAUUUAUUUCUGUAAUUUAACAGGUGGCUUUGGUAUUAACUCCCAUUUUGUUAUAGCAUUUUUGCUCAUAUGACCUACAGUAUACAAAACAGCUUCUGACAAAGUAAGACUAUGAUUUUAUAGUCAUUUUCUAGCAUUAAGUGUAGUAAUCAGUGAAUUAGAUGUAUUUCAAGCAUUAACAUUUGAGCAAGAAAUUACUUUUCACAUGCUAUUUUAAUUUAAAUUUCUUUUAAUUAAAAGAUAAUCCGAUAAAAGAAAGCUAUUUUCUUAACUGAUUAUCAGUUUGUCUUGUGAAUAACUUACAUCCAUGAAGAACACUUGUAUUUGGUUUUGGUAAUUUCUUUUGGCCUGUAGCAAAGGAAAUACUUUUUUAAACAAUGUCUUGUUUACUAUGCCUCAUUUAGAAUGACUUUAAUUUCUCAUGUGUUAAUAAAUGUAUUUCUUACCUUGCUUUAAAAUACCUGCAUCCUUGCUCUUUUCUAACUUUGAACUUUCCUCUGUGGCUGCAUCUGAGGUGCUUUUUUCAGGUGAUGAAACUUAUCAGGACAUUUUCCGUGAUUUUUCACAAAUGGCAUCGAAUAAUCCAGAGAAACUAAAUCGUUUCCAGCAAGAUUCACAAAAAUUCUGAGUUCUUUAAGAAGGGGGAAUAUGUGAAAUCUGGUGACUUCCUAAUGUGUGCAGCUGAAAACUCACAACUUUUACUGUUAUAAUUCUACUUACUUAAUUUUGGUAGUUAUUGAAUGGUUUUUGGGAAAAGUACCCAAUCAUUGAUAUUUUUAUAAGUUGAAACAUAGACCUCUCAUAGUUAGAAGAAGAAUCUACUUUAAUACCUCUUUUAUGGAAAGGAAAAAAGAAAAGCCUGUUUAAAGGGUUAUUUUUUUUAACUAACUAAAAGUUGAAUCUAGAUUAGGGCCACCUCUAGUUUUUAAGAUGCUAAGAGGUUAGAGAAAAAACGUCUUUUCUUGCCAACAGAUGAUAACAUGGAUAUGUUUUUUUUUUUCUGUACGUCAUGGCUAGGAUCAUUGAAAAACGUCUGUCAUGUGGGAGCCAGUUAUCCUGCCUGUCUCAAGAACAUCUUUCUUUAGCUUCCUCGAUAAUUUUGGGUGUAUUUUUUACUUGGUAGCCUAGCUAUCAUGUACACAUUAUAUGAUUUAAUUACUAGAACUAGAGAACAUGCUUUUCCCCAUUGCUCAGAAAUACCAUUUUGCUCCUUAGAGAUAGGCUACUAGGUUGUUGGCCAGCACUCACCAGACUGUAGUGGCUGUACAAGUAGACUAAUUCAGUCCUUCAGAUUUAUUCCAUCUUAUGAAGAAAAGAAGCUCUUAAUUCUUUUUUAUUUUCUUUUUUUUUUUUUCCACCAAGAGGAUCCCAGUUCAAAACUUGUAGUUCUUCAUUGUUGGGUUUAUUUCCUAAAACUUUGACAAAUUAUCAGUGUAAUAAAACUGUGUUUCAAAGAUUACUUGAAUGUUGGAAAAUUAUACUUUAAUCAAAAUAUAAGUUCCAAAAGAAAAGUUGGUUUUAUUAAAUUUCAUAGAGCUUCUUUAUAGUUGGAGUUGUUAUUUUUAAAAUACAGUUUUCCUAUUGCUAUUUUCCUAUUGCAAAAGGGAAAUCUCUUUGCAUAAUGAAGAAGAAAGCUUGUUUUUCUCAUAUUAAAAUAUACAUCAGUAAAUUCCUUUUGCUUUUUCUCUACAUCCAUCCUUUGUACUGCACAUAUUCUACAUUCUUUUAAAUUAUAUCAUUAGUAUAGUUUUACAAUUUAGUGAUGUGAACCACAGAUCCUUGAGUUCCAAGAUACUAUGAAUAUACUUGUUUACCAUUUAUAUACUACAAAUUAGUCUGAUUACAUUUUUGACAUGUCUUAUCAAGAAUAUAGAAUAAUUAAGUAAUUUGCCAUAUGGUUCCUUUUCAGUGUUGUGAACAAUUGAAUUUAAUCUUCUUUUGGAAAUUAUGUUGGUGAUAUUAUUGGUACUGUUUCUAAAGAAAAGUUUUAACUUUUAAAAGAGAUACUAUGUUUAAUUAGAUAAUAAAUUUUUGUAACAUUUUCUCCCUAAUAAGUAGAAUCUGAUAAGCCAAACAUCAAAUCACAAUCUAAGCAGGAAUUGCAUUGAAAUAAAUUUUGUAUCAUAGAAAACGUUCCAUAAUUUGGUCAAAUUGCAAGCAUGUAAUGCUUAUAUAGUAAGAGUCACCAUAUAUUAGAUGAAGAUAAAAAUGUAAUAAGUUACUUCAGAGGAAAUACUUCCAAGGCGUUAUACUUUAAUUACAGCAUAAUAGAAACAUUAAAUUUUUCCUGUUUUCACAGAGUCACAGAUCAUCUCGUUUUGUAGAUACUUUGUUUAAAGGUAAAAGUGUGAUUUAUUGUCCUUUGAAAUUAAUUGCCCUUCAGAUCUCAAGGAAGACAGAUGUAUUAAAACUACAGAGAGGAAAGGCAAACAGAAAAGAAAGCCUCCCUUUUCUUUUACACAGUGUCUGCUCUUGUUUUAAUGCUAGAUGUCAUCCUGAAGCCCCUGACCUUGGUCAGGUUUUUUUUGGACGUGGUCCCUGGUGCUUGAGACAACCUCUGGGACCUCUGUGGUUAGGAGGGAGAGUCCUUGUGACACCCUUACUUCUUUGGUCAUGAGUCAUGAGUUGUUAAUGUGCCAGCAGUGUCUGUUUAUAUUUGAAGAUCAGAAAUAUACUUGAAGUGCUCUACAGGUGAUCAUGGUUUUGAAUCGAGUAUCUUCAGAGAAAGCCAUGUCUUUAAUGUUGCAGGGAGACUGCAGUAUAAAACUACAUAACUGUGGCUUUAUUUCAUGAAGGUGCUUGAGAUCCCAUCUGGAUUACAUUUGGCAGAAAUGAUGGAGUAAACUGCGAGGCUUUAAAUUAAAUUAAUAGUCACAAGGUAGGUUGGCUUUUAGGUGAAUUUCACUGCGUCAGCCAAUAUCUUCUGUAUAGUGUGUAACAAAUCUGAGGUUUUUAUGCUGUGAAUUACUCAGUGCAUUAUGAGGAAUUAUAGUAUAAACCAUGUUAAUCUUACUCUUGGGCUUCUUAGUCUGUGUGAUUACUCUUUAUUUUCUUGCCAUAACCAAUCUGAUAAUAGUUUCUGAAUCUUUAUCAUCAUUCUGUUAGCUCAUUAUCUUUAGCCCAUUAAUUUGAAAUUUGAAUUAAUAUCAAAGAAUAGUGUACUAUGAAGCAUUCAUAAAAUGCAGUUUCGUUUUAGAAUUAGACUAAAGGUAAUUGAGCAGCUAUUUGCAAUGCUUCAUUGUGAUAUUUGCAUGUGUUAGAUUUCUGUGGUUUAAAAAAACUAUUUUUAGCACAAUCCUUAGAAAUUCAGAAAUUUCCUUGGGCUUAACUGUAUUACAGUGUGCCUAAUUUAUACUGGUUUUCACUGUAGAUUUUCAUGAAUGUUGAAAUUUACCUUCCCAAACAUACAGACUUAAUUUGUAACAUGUCCUUUAGUUUUUUAUAACUGCAUUUUAGGAAAAAAAAAUGUAGAUUUUUACAAACAGUCUGGAAAAUUUUAAGUUUGUGGCAAUGUUAGCAGUAUUUUUAAAAUGUAAUUUUGUGCAUGUUAAGUAUGGUCACAAUAAACUGAAUUGUGUUUAAGACUAAAUAUACUACCCAUUUUAAGUAACCAACAUUCCUAGAUCACACAUUGUCAACUUAAAUCUUCUGUAUGAUAGCACUUUUGACAUGAGCUGGAAAAGUGAUAUAUUUUUCUACAAAUUAUUGUCCAGAAUGACUUCAGAACUGUAUGAUACAGUGGACAGGGCACUGGAAUAGGAGUCACUGCCCUUUUUGAUUCAGGGCGUCUCACAAAUGAAAUGAGUGGAUGAAACAAGGUGAAAAUACAAAAAUAUCUGUUUGUGUGUUUUGCUAUUUACAGUGUACUUGACAUUAGUUGUUCUCACCUGAUUCUUACAGUAGGUCUUCUGACAUCUCAAGCUAAGAGCUUCAGCUUUGCUUUUUGAUCCUGGUGUGCUCCCCUUGUUCUACAGAGGUGGUCCCCUCAGUUUGCCAGUUGGUGGCAGAACUGACCAUAUCCCUGGGCUGACUGACUGCAAGUCAGAAGCACUUUACUUGUAUCAAUGAAAUGUUUUAGACAUCAUUGUAAAGCAGCAAAAUCUGAUAAUGAUUGCCAGCUUUCCUUGUGUUCCUUAAAAAUGAUGCCAAAUAUUCUGAGGGCCUUGAUACAAAGUGUGAAAGAAUAGAUUGGGAUUUGGAGACAUCAGAUUGUUGGAAAAUUUGCAUUUUUAUAACAGCAAGCAUCGAUGAAAGCAAAAAAUUUAUAAAGGUAAUUUUAAUUCAGCACUUACUGAUUUCUUGAUAUUUUCAAAUGAAAGAAGUAAAAGAGGCUUGGGUUUAGAUUUGUUGAAUCCUGAUAUGUAUAAUGAAGACUUUAUGGAAAUCAUUUUCUAUUUAGAUAAAUUUAUCCUCUUAAUAUUGGAUAAUUUGGGGACAAGCAAGAUUUGAUUAAAUGCAACUUUCUCUGCAUUGGUCUUCUGGAUUUUACUUUUUCCACUCUCCCCUAAACCCCUAUUUUGGUUGUUAAUCUUAAACAGGGAAAGCUUGCUACAUUAUAAAGAUUGUUGUCACCAUUUAUUUUACAUAAGGCUAAAAGUUAACUUUUGGAAAUGGUGAACUACUUUUCUGUAUGUGUUUACUUGUGCUUUGUGAUAUUUUUGGAUCAUUCCAGUCAUAAAGACUUAUUACAUGUAAUAUUUCUUGCUACCUGUGAAAAGUAUAUUUUAAAGAAUGUGUAACCAACACUCCAUUUACUUUUUAUUAGUAUGUAGAAGUUUGUAUCUAAUUCACUCUAGUGUAUCAUUGUAAAUGGAGCAAAGUACAUACAUUAUUGUUAUAGCUAUUAUAAAUGUACAUUAUGUAAGAAUUGUAAAUAUUAUACUUGAUUAAGUAAUUUGUAUGCUGAAAAAUUACAAUAAUAAGUCAAUAAAAAUCUUACCUCCAGCA